GUGCCAGCCGCCGCGGUAAUACGUAGGGGGCGAGCGUUGUCCGGAAUGAUUGGGCGUAAAGGGCGCGUAGGCGGCAUGUUAAGUCUGAAGUGAAAGUCCUAUAUUUAAGGUAGGAAUUGCUUUGGAAACUGAUGUGCUUGAGUGCAGGAGAGGUCAUCGGAAUUCCCAGUGUAGCGGUGAAAUGCGUAGAGAUUGGGAGGAACACCAGUGGCGAAGGCGGGUGGCUGGACUGUAACUGACGCUGAGGCGCGAAAGUGUGGGGAGCAAACAGGAUUAGAAACCCCUGUAGUCCCGAAA
rnacentral:rRNA from 1 species